UAACACAUGCAAGUCGAACGGACCAACGGAGAGCUUGCUCUCCUGCGGUCAGCGGCGGACGGGUGAGUAACACGUAGGCAACCUGCCUGUACGACCGGGAUAACUCCGGGAAACCGGAGCUAAUACCGGAUAGGAUUUCAGACCGCAUGGUUUGGAAUGGAAAGACCCUGUGUCACGUACAGAUGGGCCUGCGGCGCAUUAGCUAGUUGGUGGGGUAACGGCCUACCAAGGCGACGAUGCGUAGCCGACCUGAGAGGGUGAACGGCCACACUGGGACUGAGACACGGCCCAGACUCCUACGGGAGGCAGCAGUAGGGAAUCUUCCGCAAUGGACGAAAGUCUGACGGAGCAACGCCGCGUGAACGAAGAAGGUUUUCGGAUCGUAAAGUUCUGUUGGUUAGGGAAGAACCGCCGGGAUAACCUCCCGGUCUGACGGUACCUAACGAGAAAGCCCCGGCUAACUACGUGCCAGCAGCCGCGGUAAUACGUAGGGGGCAAGCGUUGUCCGGAAUUAUUGGGCGUAAAGCGCGCGCAGGCGGCUUCUUAAGUCAGGUGUGAAAGCCCACGGCUCAACCGUGGAGGGCCACUUGAAACUGGGAGGCUUGAGUGCAGGAGAGGAGAGUGGAAUUCCACGUGUAGCGGUGAAAUGCGUAGAGAUGUGGAGGAACACCUGUGGCGAAGGCGGCUCUCUGGCCUGUAACUGACGCUGAGGCGCGAAAGCGUGGGGAGCGAACAGGAUUAGAUACCCUGGUAGUCCACGCCGUAAACGAUGAGUGCUAGGUGUUGGGGUCUCCAAACCUCAGUGCCGCAGCUAACGCAAUAAGCACUCCGCCUGGGGAGUACGGCCGCAAGGCUGGAACUCAAAGGAAUUGACGGGGACCCGCACAAGCGGUGGAGCAUGUGGUUUAAUUCGAAGCAACGCGAAGAACCUUACCAGGGCUUGACAUCCCGCUGACCCCUCUAAGAGAUAGAGGCUUCCUUCGGGACAGCGGUGACAGGUGGUGCAUGGUUGUCGUCAGCUCGUGUCGUGAGAUGUGGGGUUAAGUCCCGCAACGAGCGCAACCCUUGUCCUUAGUUGCCAGCAAUACUCACCCCAUGAAAGUGACCGGAAUUCAAAGAGGGUUAUUCCGAUUACUUUCAUGGGGACCCGAGUGGUUGGGCACUCUAGGGAGACUGCCGUCGACAAGACGGAGGAAGGUGGGGAUGACGUCAAAUCAUCAUGCCCCUUAUGUCCUGGGCUACACACGUGCCACAAUGGAUGGAACAACGGGCAGCCAACUCGCGAGAGUGAGCCAAUCCCUUAAAACCAUUCUCAGUUCGGAUUGCAGGCUGCAACUCGCCUGCAUGAAGCCGGAAUCGCUAGUAAUCGCGGAUCAGCAUGCCGCGGUGAAUACGUUCCCGGGUCUUGUACACACCGCCCGUCACACCACGAGAGUUUGCAACACCCGAAGUCGGUGAGGUAACCUAAACUGCCCCAAAAAGUAUUACUUUUCGGGGACCCCAGUUGGGAGCCAGCCGCCGAAGGUGGGGCAGAUGAUUGGGGUGAAGUCGUAACAAGGUAUCCGUACCGGAAGG
rnacentral:rRNA from 1 species